AGAGUUUGAUCAUGGCUCAGGAUGAACGCUGGCGGUAUGCUUAACACAUGCAAGUCGAACGGUCUCUUCGGAGAUAGUGGCGGACGGGUGAGUAACGCGUGAGAACAUGCCUAUCGAUUGGGGACAACAGUUGGAAACGACUGCUAAUACCGAAUGUGCCUUAGGGUGAAAGAUUUAUCGUCGAUAGAUUGGCUCGCGUCAGAUUAGCUAGUUGGUGAGGUAAAGGCUCACCAAGGCGACGAUCUGUAACUGGUCUGAGAGGAUGACCAGUCACACUGGAACUGAGACACGGUCCAGACUCCUACGGGAGGCAGCAGUGGGGAAUUUUCCGCAAUGGGCGAAAGCCUGACGGAGCAAUACCGCGUGUGGGAGGACGCUUUUUGGAGUGUAAACCACUUUUAUUAGGGAAGAAGAACUGACGGUACCUAAUGAAUCAGCAUCGGCUAACUCCGUGCCAGCAGCCGCGGUAAUACGGGGGAUGCAAGCGUUAUCCGGAAUUAUUGGGCGUAAAGCGUCCGUAGGUGGCUUAUCAAGUCUGUUGUCAAAGCGUGCGGCUCAACCGCAUACGGGCGAUGGAAACUGAUGAGCUAGAGUGCGAUAGGGGUCAGGGGAAUUCCCGGUGUAGCGGUGAAAUGCGUAGAUAUCGGGAAGAACACCAGUGGCGAAAGCGCCUGACUGGGUCUGCACUGACACUGAGGGACGAAAGCUAGGGGAGCGAAAGGGAUUAGAUACCCCUGUAGUCCUAGCUGUAAACGAUGGCAACUAGGUGUGGUUCGUAUCGACCCGAGCCGUGCCGUAGCCAACGCGUUAAGUUGUCCGCCUGGGGAGUACGCACGCAAGUGUGAAACUCAAAGGAAUUGACGGGGGCCCGCACAAGCGGUGGAGUAUGUGGUUUAAUUCGAUGCAACGCGAAGAACCUUACCAAGGCUUGACAUCCUCGGAACCCUGAUGAAAGUUAGGGGUGCCUUCGGGAGCCGAGAGACAGGUGGUGCAUGGCUGUCGUCAGCUCGUGUCGUGAGAUGUUGGGUUAAGUCCCGCAACGAGCGCAACCCACGUUUUUAGUUGCCAGCAUUCAGUUGGGCACUCUAGAGAGACUGCCGGUGACAAACCGGAGGAAGGUGUGGAUGACGUCAAGUCAGCAUGCCCCAUACGCCUUGGGCUACACACGUACUACAAUGCUUCGGACAAAGGGCAGCCAGACCGCGAGGUUGAGCCAAUCCCAUAAACCGAGGCACAGUUCAGAUUGCAGGCUGCAACUCGCCUGCAUGAAGGCGGAAUCGCUAGUAAUCGCAGGUCAGCAUACUGCGGUGAAUACGUUCCCGGGCCUUGUACACACCGCCCGUCACACCAUGGGAGUUGGUCAUGCCCGAAGUCGUUACUCCAACCGUUCGCGGAGGAGGACGCCGAAGGUGGGGCUGAUGACUGGGGUGAAGUCGUAACAAGGUAGCCGUACCGGAAGGUGUGGCUGGAUCACCUCCUU
rnacentral:rRNA from 1 species